rnacentral:rRNA from 1 species
ACUCCUACGGGAGGCAGCAGUAGGGAAUCUUCCGCAAUGGACGAAAGUCUGACGGAGCAACGCCGCGUGAGUGAUGAAGGUUUUCGGAUCGUAAAGCUCUGUUGUUAGGGAAGAACAAGUGCCGUUCAAAUAGGGCGGCACCUUGACGGUACCUAACCAGAAAGCCACGGCUAACUACGUGCCAGCAGCCGCGGUAAUACGUAGGUGGCAAGCGUUGUCCGGAAUUAUUGGGCGUAAAGGGCUCGCAGGCGGUUUCUUAAGUCUGAUGUGAAAGCCCCCGGCUCAACCGGGGAGGGUCAUUGGAAACUGGGGAACUUGAGUGCAGAAGAGGAGAGUGGAAUUCCACGUGUAGCGGUGAAAUGCGUAGAGAUGUGGAGGAACACCAGUGGCGAAGGCGACUCUCUGGUCUGUAACUGACGCUGAGGAGCGAAAGCGUGGGGAGCGAACAGGAUUAGAUACCCUGGUAGUCCACGCCGUAAACGAUGAGUGCUAAGUGUUAGGGGGUUUCCGCCCCUUAGUGCUGCAGCUAACGCAUUAAGCACUCCGCCUGGGGAGUACGGUCGCAAGACUGAAACUCAAAGGAAUUGACGGGGGCCCGCACAAGCGGUGGAGCAUGUGGUUUAAUUCGAAGCAACGCGAAGAACCUUACCAGGUCUUGACAUCCUCUGACAAUCCUAGAGAUAGGACGUCCCCUUCGGGGGCAGAGUGACAGGUGGUGCAUGGUUGUCGUCAGCUCGUGUCGUGAGAUGUUGGGUUAAGUCCCGCAACGAGCGCAACCCUUGAUCUUAGUUGCCAGCAUUCAGUUGGGCACUCUAAGGUGACUGCCGGUGACAAACCGGAGGAAGGUGGGGAUGACGUCAAAUCAUCAUGCCCCUUAUGACCUGGGCUACACACGUGCUACAAUGGACAGAACAAAGGGCAGCGAAACCGCGAGGUUAAGCCAAUCCCACAAAUCUGUUCUCAGUUCGGAUCGCAGUCUGCAA